rnacentral:rRNA from 1 species
AUUGAACGCUGGCGGCAGGCCUAACACAUGCAAGUCGAACGGUAACAGGAAGCAGCUUGCUGCUUUGCUGACGAGUGGCGGACGGGUGAGUAAUGUCUGGGAAACUGCCUGAUGGAGGGGGAUAACUACUGGAAACGGUAGCUAAUACCGCAUAACGUCGCAAGACCAAAGAGGGGGACCUUCGGGCCUCUUGCCAUCGGAUGUGCCCAGAUGGGAUUAGCUAGUAGGUGGGGUAACGGCUCACCUAGGCGACGAUCCCUAGCUGGUCUGAGAGGAUGACCAGCCACACUGGAACUGAGACACGGUCCAGACUCCUACGGGAGGCAGCAGUGGGGAAUAUUGCACAAUGGGCGCAAGCCUGAUGCAGCCAUGCCGCGUGUAUGAAGAAGGCCUUCGGGUUGUAAAGUACUUUCAGCGGGGAGGAAGGGAGUAAAGUUAAUACCUUUGCUCAUUAACGUUACCCGCAGAAGAAGCACCGGCUAACUCCGUG